GGAGAGGUGGCAGAGCGGCUGAAUGUACUGGUUUCGAAAACCAGCGUGCCGCAAGGCACCGGGGGUUCGAAUCCCCCCCUCUCCGCCA
rnacentral:tRNA from 1 species